rnacentral:rRNA from 1 species
CCUACGGGUGGCAGCAGUGAGGAAUAUUGGUCAAUGGGCGAGAGCCUGAACCAGCCAAGUCGCGUGAGGGAGUACUGCCCUAUGGGUUGUAAACCUCUUUUGUCGGGGAGCAAAAGCCGGACGUGUCCGGCUGUGAGAGUUCCCGAAGGAAAAGCAUCGGUUAACUUCGUGCCAGCAGCCGCGGUAAUACGGAGGAUGCGAGCGUUAUCCGGAUUUAUUGGGUUUAAAGGGUGCGCAGGCGGAUUUUUAAGUCAGCGGUAAAAUCGUGGGGCUCAACCCCAUCCAGCCGUGGAAACUGGGGAUCUAGAGUGUGCGAGAGGUAUGCGGAAUGCGUGGUGUAGCGGUGAAAUGCAUAGAUAUCACGCAGAACCCCGAUUGCGAAGGCAGCAUGCCGGUGCACAACUGACGCUCAGGCACGAAAGCGUGGGUAUCGAACAGGAUUAGAUACCCCAGUAGUC